UACGUAGGUGACAAGCGUUGUCCGGAUUUACUGGGCGUAAAGGGCGCGUAGGCGGCCACCGCAAGUCGACUGUGAAAUCUCCGGGCUUAACCCGGAAAGGUCAGCCGAUACUGCGGGGCUAGAGUGCAGAAGGGGCAACUGGAAUUCUCGGUGUAGCGGUGAAAUGCGUAGAUAUCGAGAGGAACACCUGCGGCGAAGGCGGGUUGCUGGGCUGACACUGACGCUGAGGCGCGAAAGCUAGGGGAGCGAACGGG
rnacentral:rRNA from 1 species